rnacentral:rRNA from 1 species
AUUGAUCGCUGGCGGCAGGCUUAACACAUGCAAGUCGAGCGGGGACUUCGGUCUUAGCGGCGAACGGGUGAGGAAUGCUUGGGUGUCUGGUCAGUAGCGGGGGAUAACGUCUCGAAAGGAACGCUAAUACCGCAUACGCCCUACGGGGGCAAGGGGGGGAUCGUCGGGCCUCCGACUAUUGGAUGAGCAGAAGUCGGAUUAACUAGGUGGGCGGGUAAAGGCUCACCAAGGCGACGAUCCGUAGCUAGUCUGAGAGGAUGAUCAGCCACACUGGAACUGAGACACGGUCCAGACUCCUACGGGAGGCAGCAGUGGGGAAUAUUUGACAAUGGGCGAAAGCCUGAUCCAGCCAUGCCGCGUGUGUGAAGAAGGCCUUCGGGUUGUAAAGCACUUUCAGCGAGGAGGAAUGGCUCCGGGUUAAUACCCUUGAGCAUAGACGUUACUCGCAGAAUAAGCACCGGCUAACUCUGUGCCAGCAGCCGCGGUAAGAC